AGAGUUUGAUCCUGGCUCAGGACGAACGCUGGCGGCGUGCCUAAUACAUGCAAGUCGAGCGGACAGAUGGGAGCUUGCUCCCUGAUGUUAGCGGCGGACGGGUGAGUAACACGUGGGUAACCUGCCUGUAAGACUGGGAUAACUCCGGGAAACCGGGGCUAAUACCGGAUGGUUGUUUGAACCGCAUGGUUCAAACAUAAAAGGUGGCUUCGGCUACCACUUGCAGAUGGACCCGCGGCGCAUUAGCUAGUUGGUGAGGUAAUGGCUCACCAAGGCAGCGAUGCGUAGCCGACCUGAGAGGGUGAUCGGCCACACUGGGACUGAGACACGGCCCUGACUCCUACGGGAGGCAGCAGUAGGGAAUCUUCCGCAAUGGACGAAAGUCUGACGGAGCAACGCCGCGUGAGUGAUGAAGGUUUUCGGAUCGUAAAGCUCUGUUGUUAGGGAAGAACAAGUGCCGUUCGAAUAGGGCGGUACCUUGACGGUACCUAACCAGAAAGCCACGGCUAACUACGUGCCAGCAGCCGCGGUAAUACGUAGGUGGCAAGCGUUGUCCGGAAUUAUUGGGCGUAAAGGGCUCGCAGGCGGUUUCUUAAGUCUGAUGUGAAAGCCCCCGGCUCAACCGGGGAGGGUCAUUGGAAACUGGGGAACUUGAGUGCAGAAGAGGAGAGUGGAAUUCCACGUGUAGCGGUGAAAUGCGUAGAGAUGUGGAGGAACACCAGUGGCGAAGGCGACUCUCUGGUCUGUAACUGACGCUGAGGAGCGAAAGCGUGGGGAGCGAACAGGAUUAGAUACCCUGGUAGUCCACGCCGUAAACGAUGAGUGCUAAGUGUUAGGGGGUUUUCCGCCCCUUAGUGCUGCAGCUAACGCAUUAAGCACUCCGCCUGGGGAGUACGGUCGCAAGACUGAAACUCAAAGGAAUUGACGGGGGCCCGCACAAGCGGAGGAGCAUGUGGUUUAAUUCGAAGCAACGCGAAGAACCUUACCAGGUCUUGACAUCCUCUGACAAUCCUAGAGAUAGGACGUCCCCUUCGGGGGCAGAGUGACAGGUGGUGCAUGGUUGUCGUCAGCUCGUGUCGUGAGAUGUUGGGUUAAGUCCCGCAACGAGCGCAACCCUUGAUCUUAGUUGCCAGCAUUCAGUUGGGCACUCUAAGGUGACUGCCGGUGACAAACCGGAGGAAGGUGGGGAUGACGUCAAAUCAUCAUGCCCCUUAUGACCUGGGCUACACACGUGCUACAAUGGACAGAACAAAGGGCAGCGAAACCGCGAGGUUAAGCCAAUCCCACAAAUCUGUUCUCAGUUCGGAUCGCAGUCUGCAACUCGACUGCGUGAAGCUGGAAUCGCUAGUAAUCGCGGAUCAGCAUGCCGCGGUGAAUACGUUCCCGGGCCUUGUACACACCGCCCGUCACACCACGAGAGUUUGUAACACCCGAAGUCGGUGAGGUAACCUUUUAGGAGCCAGCCGCCGAAGGUGGGACAGAUGAUUGGGGUGAAGUCGAAACAAGGUAGCCGUAUCGGAAGGUGCGGCUG
rnacentral:rRNA from 1 species